rnacentral:rRNA from 1 species
ACUUGAAUUGAAGAGUUUGAUCAUGGCUCAGAUUGAACGCUGGCGGCAGGCUUAACACAUGCAAGUCGAACGGUAGCAGGAGAAAGCUUGCUUUCUUGCUGACGAGUGGCGGACGGGUGAGUAAUGCUUGGGAAUCUGGCUUAUGGAGGGGGAUAACUACGGGAAACUGUAGCUAAUACCGCGUAGUGUCGAGAGACGAAAGUGCGGGACCGUAAGGCCGCAUGCCAUAGGAUGAGCCCAAGUGGGAUUAGGUAGUUGGUGGGGUAAAGGCCUACCAAGCCUGCGAUCUCUAGCUGGUCUGAGAGGAUGGCCAGCCACACUGGAACUGAGACACGGUCCAGACUCCUACGGGAGGCAGCAGUGGGGAAUAUUGCGCAAUGGGGGGAACCCUGACGCAGCCAUGCCGCGUGAAUGAAGAAGGCCUUCGGGUUGUAAAGUUCUUUCGGUAUUGAGGAAGGAGUGUAUGUUAAUAGCAUGCAUUAUUGACGUUAAAUACAGAAGAAGCACCGGCUAACUCCGUGCCAGCAGCCGCGGUAAUACGGAGGGUGCGAGCGUUAAUCGGAAUAACUGGGCGUAAAGGGCACGCAGGCGGUUAUUUAAGUGAGGUGUGAAAGCCCCGGGCUUAACCUGGGAAUUGCAUUUCAGACUGGGUAACUAGAGUACUUUAGGGAGGGGUAGAAUUCCACGUGUAGCGGUGAAAUGCGUAGAGAUGUGGAGGAAUACCGAAGGCGAAGGCAGCCCCUUGGGAAUGUACUGACGCUCAUGUGCGAAAGCGUGGGGAGCAAACAGGAUUAGAUACCCUGGUAGUCCACGCUGUAAACGCUGUCGAUUUGGGGAUUGAGCUUUAAGCUUGGUGCCCGUAGCUAACGUGAUAAAUCGACCGCCUGGGGAGUACGGCCGCAAGGUUAAAACUCAAAUGAAUUGACGGGGGCCCGCACAAGCGGUGGAGCAUGUGGUUUAAUUCGAUGCAACGCGAAGAACCUUACCUACUCUUGACAUCCA